GCGGGUGUGGCGGAAUGGCAGACGCGCCAGAUUUAGGUUCUGGUGUUUUUGACGUGCAGGUUCAAGUCCUGUCACCCGCACCA
rnacentral:tRNA from 1 species